CCAUUGUAGACACGGCCAACGUGCCGCCAUGUGAUCCAUUCCUGGGUUUAAAAGCUUAAGGCCCACAGAGAGGAGCACAGGAUACAAUUCCCCAAUUGAGCAUCCUCUGAAGAGCACAUCACACUCUCCGGGUGCUGCAUCCUAAACAUGUCGGACACUGAAGAAGCCACAAACGACGGACAACGUAAGUUACUUUGUCAGCUCACACAUGUUGGCAAGAUGAGUUUUGACAGUUUGUAAUUGAUGUUUUGCUGCAGAGACGCAGUUUCAGACAGCUG